GACACUUUCAAAGUGUUGAAUUUAACUCUGUAGGAGUUGAUGGAACACUUCCAAAUUUGCUGUGUAUUUCUUCAAGACCAAAUAGAGCUCAACAAAGUUAUUUAAAAAAAAAAAGUUUUAACAGAAUAAGAGCAAGAUUUUAAGCUGAAUCUCAAGUUCUUCUGGAGAUACUGGCCAGCUGCCUACAUUUUUUUAAAAAAAUCUGUCUGGAUACACUCUACUUCCUUAAUGAUGCUGCAUAAUGGGCCAUGUUCACACAUAAACAUUCACUUACAGAUAACAGCACGUAAACAUGUCAAUACGCAGAGCAGGUUAAAACAGCCUUUGUGACCUAUAAACUACAGACUUUCUAUUGUUGCCAUGGCAGCGCCACAUUUUCAGUGAGUGGGUAUCCAGAUUAUUAUGGUCUGUGUUUCCAGCCAUGUGCUGAUGACAGAUGGAACAAGUUGCUAUGGUAACACUAAGUAUAGAUGCAGAAGAGGACAAGCUGCUAAAGUCAUUUUCCUCUUAGUGAGGUCACAACUCUGAAGAGAAAAAUCAAACUACUCACAUGUAACAUUAUUAUUCUGAACUGAAUUCUACCCAUUCACUUCUAAAGUAAAUGAACUGACAUCCUGAAUGAUGUUCUUUACCUGCAUGGAGGUGUUUUUCAUCUUAAAUUAGAAACACGGAUGCACGAAAGUGUCCCAAACAUUGCGAGAAAUCAAAAUCAGAGGCGCAACACAGAAUAUAUGAUUAAGCAACUUUUCUUUAAGCCUGAGCCAUUGUUUUGCAUUAUUUAAAAUGAACUGGCAAAGGAAUACAGCCUUUAACUCUAAUCUUACAUGGCUUCAAAACUAUUUUCUUAGAAUGUCAUUUCUAGCAGCCAUUUGAACAACAAUGAUCUGCUGAUCUGAUUUGAUGAAGAAAUUGUCUUUACUUAAAGUUGGAAUUUGGGGUAUAGCAAAAUUCACAAAUACAUAUUCUCUCAUUCUAAUCAUCUCUCUUCCUCAUGACUUGGUAGAGACCUUCUCUAUUGCUGAAAUUAACUGUUUAUUUUUCAGAUUUGUUUUGGGAAUUUAACCAACACCUGGUUAUUUAUUUAAUGACUCCAAAUAAAAUAAAAUAAAAACUAUUUUAAUUACAUAUACUUAAGUUUCAGAGGGGCUCCUUGUUUUCCAUGAAGGAGGUAUUCUUAUCACUUCACUACAAUAAUUCCAAACCAGACAUAAAAAAAAACAUUUUUAAAAAUCCCUUCUAAGAAAUGCACCAAAUGUAUAUUUGUGAGUGAACAUUAAAAGUAAAUAUUAAAAGGUUUCAGUUUCACACAAAUACAAAGGCGGUAGGUAGCAUAAAUGUCCGGCUGUUGAAGUGAAUUUUUCAGUGUCACUAUCAAGCUAAUUUUCUAUUAGCAGCUUCACAAAUCUUUACGAUAAACAUUAAAUUACCAUUGAACAUGCGAAUAUACAUGUAUCUUUGCUUUUUUCUUUUCUCUUUAUUUUAUCUGUCCCUGAAGGAUAAAUCUUUUUUGGGACAUUGUUUUGCUAAUUUAUCUUCCAUCGGAGCUUUGGAGGUUUAGAUGAGCACAGCUCAUUGCAUGGCAGCUCAUAUUACCGAUGAAGCGUGACCUACUGCGGCCACCAGGGGUCCACCAAGGGUGUUACAUAAGAGCGUGUCGGAAAUUCGGGACCAGCUCAUAACACGAGUACACAAGCCAAGAAAACCAUGCUUUUGAUUAUGCCGUAAGAAAAGGCACAGAAGUCAUUACCACGGUUUGUCCUCACCAACUUCAUGUGCUUACUGGGUUUCUGUAUCUACCUACCAGCAGCUUCCAGCAAAGCAGCCAAAACGAGAUCAUUUCCAGACGGUCACGGCGCGCGCAUUCAUUUCUCCCUCUUCCCAACGGCAACGCGAGUAGCCAGACGGACCCUUGCUGGCGCGAGGUGGAGUGGAACGCAUAUGAAACUCACGGCCACGGCGCGUGUUUAUGCGAGAUGAAGCUAGGUAGAGAGAGAACAGAGAGAGAGAGGACGUAUCGACGUAUAUGCUAUUCCACUGCAGGUGAAUUAGAGCAGAAAAGAUAAAGCUCUAUUGACAGGCUAUUGUGUCUCUCUCUGUCCUCGUUUUCUCUCUCACCGACGCAAUACAUCCCGCAUUACCACCCUCCAAUUGACCUUUUUCGACAAGUAGGAUGUAGAAAUAAAACAUUUUAGCCCUCCCUCAACUAUGAUUUAUGUUACAUGGAAGGCUGUAGGAACCUCUAAAGUCAAGAAAAACAGAAAUAUAACCUUGGCUUAAAAAAAUUGGUAUAUCAAAGCAAUAGACCAACAAAUACAAAAUUAAAAUUACAUUUGUUGGCAUAAAGAACUUAUGUGAUCAAAGCUUUAUCAAUUAUAUUUGCUACAGAUUUUUGUUGUAUUUUUGCAACUUCCUUUUGUCUGCUUCACUUUUUCCCUAUACUUGAGUUGCUCCCUUACUUACUCUUCUAUACAUUUUUUUUGUAAAUAAAUAAAUUUUUCCAAAAGUUACUUAUUUACAGGUAACUUUCUCCAUUUUCCUCAGU